rnacentral:lncRNA from 12 species
CAGAUGACAGGAUGCCCGGGAAUGUAAGGAUAGAAGUUUCCGGAUAGAACAAGCCCUUGUGAGUGGACCAUAUAGACGUGGAUGCACUGUAGACUCUAGCUGGUGCUUUGAAUUGUCAAUUUUUCAAAGGGCUUGUUUCUCCAGAUAACAUUUUCUUGUUCUUUCUCUUACCUUUUUGCUUGUGGCAAUAGAUGGCGUGUUGUUAUUUUCCAAGUUGCCGGGAUUAAUGCUCAUUUUCUGGUUAAUUAAAAUCCUUUAAAUAAAAACACUCCAAGUUCAGGGCAUUAUUGUACUCAUUACCAUUUCUGUAGCAUCUUUGCAGCUCAGCUAUUAUGCAAGGCUGCAGUAAUUUUAACACAGCCCUUUUAUUCUGUUUGUCUUUAUUGAAGACUUUGUGCUCAUUACCGGAUUGUCUCCUGACAGCCCAGAAUACUCCCCCAGACUCUCCUCCUGAACUGUGUGAAAUCUAUUUUGCAUUUGCAAGUGUCUGGGCCUUCCACGAUCAGAAGCCACAGAUUAAAGAGCCAACUGGAGCAUACCACGUGGCUUUGAAUCACAGCGACACUGGGGUAAAGAGUGUUAUGUCCCCAGGUAAACCCUGGACAGAAAGCCUUCCUUCCCCGUAGCCAUCUCCAUGCAAGUGGUGAGUACUGGUGCGACAGCAAGGGUGUACGGAUUCCUUGGGGGGUAACUAUUUCUAUGAGCUGGCGAAAAGUUCUUAGAGCUCCUGAUCACACAAUUGUCUGAGAACCUGCUGACCCUUGUACCACUCAUUGAAAUUCAUGCUCAACUUGGAGUCUCCAAUGCUUCAAAUGGCUCCUAGAGAACGUGUAGAAAUAAGUGCUCUCUAGAAGCCCAGCGACAGUCCUCAUCAAAGGCUGGUUCCCUCUGUCCAAGGGUGAGUUUUAUGAGAAAGAGAAUAACGCAUAACUAACCACAUUUUAUUCUUUGACAUUCCAAUUACAUUAACCAAGGCAGGCAUUAGAGAUCAAUUGAUGGGCCAGCCCAGUGAAGUGAGGGCUGUGAGGGGCGGGUCACCGAGGAGAUGGCUCUGGGUGGCCGCGGGGCAGUGGUGGGCGCCUCUGAACAGACACUUUCUCCCUGUGAACCUCGGCCCGUGGCUUCUAAACUGCUGUCCCUUCAUUACCUUCCUGCUGUUCUUUUCUGACAAUCUGAGCCUGCCAAUCUCGACCAUUGCCUGGGUUGGAAACCCGGUUAACUAGGAUUCAUCUUGUCAUUUCAAAAGGCAGUUUCUGUUUGUGAGCCAAAUAAAGGAGUGAGCUCCCAACUACUGGGCA